GCCAGGCACAGUGGCACGUGCCUCUAGUCCCAGCUACUCAGGAGACUGAGGUGGGAGGAUUGCUUGAGCCCAGGAGUUCUGGGCUGUAGUGUGUUAUGCCAGUCGGGUGUCCACACUAAGUUCGGCAUCAGUGUGGUGACCUUCUGGGAGCAGGGGACCACCAGAUUGCCUAAGGAGGGGUGAACAGGCCCAGGUCGGAAACAGAGCAGGUCAAAACUCCCAUGCUGAUCAGUAGUGGGAUUGCACCUGUGAAUAGCCACUGCACUCCAGCCUGGGCAACAUAGCGAGACCCCGUCUCU
rnacentral:SRP_RNA from 1 species